rnacentral:rRNA from 1 species
UACGUAGGGUGCAAGCGUUGUCCGGAAUUAUUGGGCGUAAAGAGCUCGUAGGCGGUCUGUCGCGUCGGAUGUGAAAAUCCAUGGCUCAACUGUGGACCUGCAUUCGAUACGGGCAGACUAGAGUUCGGUAGGGGAGACGGGAAUUCCUGGUGUAGCGGUGAAAUGCGCAGAUAUCAGGAGGAACACCGAUGGCGAAGGCACGUCUCUGGGCCGAUACUGACGCUGAGGAGCGAAAGCGUGGGGAGCGAACAGG